rnacentral:rRNA from 1 species
ACGAACGCUGGCGGCGCGCCUAACACAUGCGAGUCGAACGAGCGAGAGAGAGCUUGCUUUCUCGAGCGAGUGGCGAACGGGUGAGUAACGCGUGAGGAACCUGCCUCAAAGAGGGGGACAACAGUUGGAAACGACUGCUAAUACCGCAUAAGCCCACGGCUCGGCAUCGAGCAGAGGGAAAAGGAGCAAUCCGCUUUGAGAUGGCCUCGCGUCCGAUUAGCUAGUUGGUGAGGUAACGGCCCACCAAGGCGACGAUCGGUAGCCGGACUGAGAGGUUGAACGGCCACAUUGGGACUGAGACACGGCCCAGACACCUACGGGAGGCAGCAGUGGGGAAUAUUGCACAAUGGGGGAAACCCUGAUGCAGCGACGCCGCGUGGAGGAAGAAGGUCUUCGGAUUGUAAACUCCUGUUGUUGAGGAAGAUAAUGACGGUACUCAACAAGGAAGUGACGGCUAACUACGUGCCAGCAGCCGCGGUAA